GGCGACCGGGUGAGUAACACGUGACUAACCUACCUUCGAUGGGGAAUAACCUCGGGAAACCGGGGCUAAUACCGCAUAAUGUCUUCGGACCAAAGGAGCAAUUCGCUUGAAGAGGGGGUCGCGGCCGAUUAGCUAGUUGGUGGGGUAACGGCCCACCAAGGCAAUGAUCGGUAGCCGGCCUGAGAGGGCGCACGGCCACACUGGAACUGAAACACGGUCCAGG
rnacentral:rRNA from 1 species